ACAUGGAUUUGCUAGCAAAAUAGCAGCAAUUGAUGAACUUGGUGUUAUACUAAGAUUUACUAAAUGUGUAAAGAAACAACGAAAAGUAUAUAUCAAUCAGAGUCAUUAUCUUGAUCAAUUUUCGAUGGGAUCUCCAAAGAAAGUAGCUACAUGUGCAGACAACAUGAAACUUCAGACUGCAGAAAAUUUCACAAUCCAUUAUCAAACUUA